rnacentral:rRNA from 1 species
GGGGAAUCUUCCGCAAUGGACGAAAGUCUGACGGAGCAACGCCGCGUGAACGAUGACGGCCUUCGGGUUGUAAAGUUCUGUUAUAUGGGACGAACAGGAUAACGGUCAAUACCCGUUAUCCCUGACGGUACCGUAAGAGAAAGCCACGGCUAACUACGUGCCAGCAGCCGCGGUAAUACGUAGGUGGCAAGCGUUGUCCGGAAUUAUUGGGCGUAAAGGGCGCGCAGGCGGCAUCGCAAGUCGGUCUUAAAAGUGCGGGGCUUAACCCCGUGAGGGGACCGAAACUGUGAAGCUCGAGUGUCGGAGAGGAAAGCGGAAUUCCUAGUGUAGCGGUGAAAUGCGUAGAUAUUAGGAGGAACACCAGUGGCGAAAGCGGCUUUCUGGACGACAACUGACGCUGAGGCGCGAAAGCCAGGGGAGCAAACGGGAUUAGAUACCCCGGUAGUCCUGGCCGUAAACGAUGGAUACUAGGUGUAGGAGGUAUCGACUCCUUCUGUGCCGGAGUUAACGCAAUAAGUAUCCCGCCUGGGGAGUACGGCCGCAAGGCUGAAACUCAAAGGAAUUGACGGGGGCCCGCACAAGCGGUGGAGUAUGUGGUUUAAUUCGACGCACGCGAGACUACAGCUGCUGAUG